ACCUCCUCCCAUCAAUCACAAAUGUCCUUAAUGUAAUUUAAGGAUUGCUAUUAAGGACAUUUGUGAUUCACGGGAGGAGGU
rfam:Homo sapiens chromosome 20, GRCh38 reference primary assembly.